rnacentral:rRNA from 1 species
AGAGUUUGAUCCUGGCUCAGGACGAACGCUGGCGGCGCGCCUAACACAUGCAAGUCGAACGGAGUUGUGUUGAAAGCUUGCUGGAUAUACAACUUAGUGGCGGACGGGUGAGUAACACGUGAGUAACCUGCCUUUCAGAGUGGAAUAACGUUUGGAAACGAACGCUAAUACCGCAUAACAUGAAGGAACGGCAUCGUUCUUUCAUCAAAGAUUUUAUCGCUGAGAGAUGGGCUCGCGGCCGAUUAGGUAGUUGGUGAGAUAACAGCCCACCAAGCCGACGAUCGGUAGCCGGACUGAGAGGUUGAACGGCCACAUUGGGACUGAGACACGGCCCAGACUCCUACGGGAGGCAGCAGUGGGGAAUAUUGCACAAUGGGGGAAACCCUGAUGCAGCAACGCCGCGUGCAGGAAGAAGGUUUUCGGAUUGUAAACUGCUUUAGACAGGGAAGAAAGAAAUGACAGUACCUGAGGAAUAAGCUCCGG